rnacentral:rRNA from 1 species
UGUAGCAAGGUUAACCGUAUAGGGGAGCCGCAGGGAAACCGAGUCUUAACUGGGCGUUAAGUUGCAGGGUAUAGACCCGAAACCCGGUGAUCUAGCCAUGGGCAGGUUGAAGGUUGGGUAACACUAACUGGAGGACCGAACCGACUAAUGUUGAAAAAUUAGCGGAUGACUUGUGGCUGGGGGUGAAAGGCCAAUCAAACCGGGAGAUAGCUGGUUCUCCCCGAAAGCUAUUUAGGUAGCGCCUCGUGAACUCAUCUUCGGGGGUAGAGCACUGUUUCGGCUAGGGGGUCAUCCCGACUUACCAACCCGAUGCAAACUACGAAUACCGAAGAAUGUUAUCACGGGAGACACACGGCGGGUGCUAACGUCCGUCGUGAAGAGGGAAACAACCCAGACCCGCCAGCUAAGGUCCCAAAGUCAUGGUUAAGUGGGAAACGAUGUGGGAAGGCACAGACAGCCAGGAUGUUGGCUUAGAAGCAGCCAUCAUUUAAAGAAAGCGUAAUAGCUCACUGGUCGAGUCGGCCUGCGCGGAAGAUGUAACGGGGCUAAACCAUGCACCGAAGCUGCGGCAGCGACACUAUGUGUUGUUGGGUAGGGGAGCGUUCUGUAAGCCUGCGAAGGUGUGCUGUGAGGCAUGCUGGAGGUAUCAGAAGUGCGAAUGCUGACAUAAGUAACGAUAAAGCGGGUGAAAAGCCCGCUCGCCGGAAGACCAAGGGUUCCUGUCCAACGUUAAUCGGGGCAGGGUGAGUCGACCCCUAAGGCGAGGCCGAAAGGCGUAGUCGAUGGGAAACAGGUUAAUAUUCCUGUACUUGGUGUUACUGCGAAGGGGGGACGGAGAAGGCUAUGUUAGCCGGGCGACGGUUGUCCCGGUUUAAGCAUGUAGGCUGGUUGUCCAGGCAAAUCCGGAUAAUCAAGGCUGAGGUGUGAUGACGAGGUACUACGGUGCUGAAGUAACAAAUGCCCUGCUUCCAGGAAAAGCCUCUAAGCAUCAGGUAACAUCAAAUCGUACCCCAAACCGACACAGGUGGUCAGGUAGAGAAUACCAAGGCGCUUGAGAGAACUCGGGUGAAGGAACUAGGCAAAAUGGUGCCGUAACUUCGGGAGAAGGCACGCUGGUGUGUAGGUGAAGUCCCUGCGGAUGGAGCUGAGACCAGUCGAAGAUACCAGCUGGCUGCAACUGUUUAUUAAAAACACAGCACUGUGCAAACACGAAAGUGGACGUAUACGGUGUGACGCCUGCCCGGUGCCGGAAGGUUAAUUGAUGGGGUUAUCCGUAAGGAGAAGCUCUUGAUCGAAGCCCCGGUAAACGGCGGCCGUAACUAUAACGGUCCUAAGGUAGCGAAAUUCCUUGUCGGGUAAGUUCCGACCUGCACGAA